UCUCCUGGAAACGGGUGGUAAUGCCGGAUGUUCCACAUGAUCGCAUGUGAUUGUGGGAAAGAUUUCAUCGGCGUGGGAUGGGGUCGCGUCCUAUCAGCUUGUUGGUGAGGUAACGGCUCACCAAGGCUUCGACGGGUAGCCGGCCUGAGAGGGCGACCGGCCACAUUGGGACUGAGAUACGGCCCAGACUCCUACGGGAGGCAGCAGUGGGGAAUAUUGCACAAUGGGCGCAAGCCUGAUGCAGCGACGCCGCGUGAGGGAUGGAGGCCUUCGGGUUGUAAACCUCUUUUGUUUGGGAGCAAGCCUUCGGGUGAGUGUACCUUUCGAAUAAGCGCCGGCUAACUACGUGCCAGCAGCCGCGGUAAUACGUAGGGCGCAAGCGUUAUCCGGAUUUAUUGGGCGUAAAGGGCUCGUAGGCGGCUCGUCGCGUCCGGUGUGAAAGUCCAUCGCUUAACGGUGGAUCUGCGCCGGGUACGGGCGGGCUGGAGUGCGGUAGGGGAGACUGGAAUUCCCGGUGUAACGGUGGAAUGUGUAGAUAUCGGGAAGAACACCAACC
rnacentral:rRNA from 1 species